AGAGUUUGAUCCUGGCUCAGGAUGAACGCUAGCGGGAGGCUAACACAUGCAAGCCGAGCGGUAGAAGUCCUUCGGGACUUUGAGAGCGGCGUACGGGUGCGUAACACGUGUGCAACCUACCUUUAUCAGGGGAAUAGCCUUUCGAAAGGAAGAUUAAUACUCCAUAAUAUAUUGAAUGGCAUCAUUCGGUAUUGAAAACUCCGGUGGAUAGAGAUGGGCACGCGCAAGAUUAGAUAGUUGGUGAGGUAACGGCUCACCAAGUCAAUGAUCUUUAGGGGUCCUGAGAGGGAGAUCCCCCACACUGGUACUGAGACACGGACCAGACUCCUACGGGAGGCAGCAGUGAGGAAUAUUGGACAAUGGGUGAGAGCCUGAUCCAGCCAUCCCGCGUGAAGGAUGACGGUCCUAUGGAUUGUAAACUUCUUUUAUACAGGGAUAAACCUAGAUACGUGUAUCUAGCUGAAGGUACUGUAUGAAUAAGCACCGGCUAACUCCGUGCCAGCAGCCGCGGUAAUACGGAGGGUGCAAGCGUUAUCCGGAUUUAUUGGGUUUAAAGGGUCCGUAGGCGGACUCGUAAGUCAGUGGUGAAAUCUCAUAGCUUAACUAUGAAACUGCCAUUGAUACUGCGGGUCUUGAGUAAAGUAGAAGUGGCUGGAAUAAGUAGUGUAGCGGUGAAAUGCAUAGAUAUUACUUAGAACACCAAUUGCGAAGGCAGGUCACUAUGUUUUAACUGACGCUGAGGGACGAAAGCGUGGGUAGCGAACAGGAUUAGAUACCCUAGUAGUCC
rnacentral:rRNA from 1 species